CGACCUAGUCGACUACAUCCUACUGUAUCCUACACAAUGGAGGUGUGUAUGGUAGGUCACACCCUACCCCACUUUCCAUUGCCACCUUACUUACCCCCCUCUCUCCGACACCCGUGCACACACAUUCACGCCUGUCUAUGUGUUGUCCUCCUGUGUGUCCUCCUCCUCCAAGAGUCUAAUUUCUUUCUCUCUCUCUCUAGUCAGUCUACUUGCCCAUGGAGUGUAUAUAUAUAAUAAGGCUCUGAUCUAUAUACAAUAUAUAUACACAUAUACGUAUGCAUAAAAUCCAGAGGGCACACAUCAAUGUAUACAGAUUCAUAUACCUAUGUAUACACAACUUGGCCUUAGUGGACAGCGGGGUGGUCAACUCGUCGACGAACAAACAAUCCACGGCGAUCACAGCGACCACAGCUAAGUAGCACGCAGUCUCGCCUCCCGCCCCCCUGCCCUGCUGCUCAGGGUCUGUGUGUGGUUGUUCGCCUCGCGAAUGGAGGCUUGUAUCUCCGAACAUACACGCCCGUGCUCUUGCCCGCCUUUCCUCCUCAGCUCUCCGUCUCCCAUGCUGCCCCCCCUCCCCGCAUUUUUGGCCUGUUUUGUACGAGAGCUAGACAUGCUCUUCC
rnacentral:misc_RNA from 1 species